rnacentral:piRNA from 1 species
UCUAUGAUUCCAGGUACCGAG